UUUCCGUAGGUGAACCUGCGGAAGGAUCAUUAUAGAGUAACCGAGCUUCGAGGUCUAUCGCUCACCCUUUGUUUCUAUUACCCCUGUUGCUUCUGCAGGCCCGUCUUCGCACCACCGGCUUCGGCUGGUCAGUGGUUGCCAGAGGACCCAAAACGAUUAUUAUUUACGUCGUCUGACUACUUUAGUAUAGUUUAAACAUUCAACAACUGAUCUAUUCGUUCUGGCAUCGAUGACGAACGUAGCAAAUCGGAAGAGCACCUGUCUGAACCAUAAUCACCA
rnacentral:misc_RNA from 1 species